rnacentral:lncRNA from 1 species
AGAGUUGUUUGGCUUUAAAGUUCAUGAAAUCUUCGAUCAUUCGUUCGUACACAUGCAAUCUAAUUCGCACCAGUAAUGCAUGAGAACAUGCGGCUGAACCACCCAAACCUCGUCUGCUUGGCCGAGCGGCCACGUCCGCCGCCAACCCUCUUGGACGAGAAGUCCUCCGGUGAGCGGUGCCUCCUGUGGCGAUUCUGCUCCUGAUGGAAACUCCCGAGCUUGAUCGGCGGCGGCCGGAGGAACCUCUGGGUGUUGGUGUCACCAAACCACUGCGAAGAACCGGUCGAGAGGGACCGGUAGUACUUGCGAGCCUUUCUUCUCUUGAUCGCCCUGUAGAUGUAUGGGAUCAGUCCUUCCAUUCUUUUCUCUGGUGGAAGUGUCGAUGGUUCUGUCAAGCCUCUCAUAAAGAGGGAGAAGAAAUCUGAGUUGACUUUGGAUCCUUCUUGAGUGAAUCCCUAUGCCGCAUUCGCUUGCAGAACAAGAAAUUGUUGUCAGGAUAAAGAUGGAAAUCUCCUGUCACCAACUGUCGUUAGAAAAGAUCAUGAAUAAGAUUAAACUGUCACAUCCUGUCACCAACUGUCACAUCAAAUAUAUAUACAUACAUAUAUAUAUAUAUAUAUAUAUAAAAUUUAUUUAUUAAAUUAUAUAUAAAUAAUCAUAUGUUUUAUUAAGAAAUAUGGUGAUAUUAACUUAAAAAUAAAUUCAACUAAUCUUACUUAAGCAUAGAGGAAUGUAUGCUAUUAUUGGAAUUAUCAUUGUGAGGUCAUUAUAAAAAUUAAAAAUAAAAAAAUUACAAUAACACUAAAAACCCCUAUUGUCAAUUGUAAAAUAAAUAUAAUCAAAAGUCAAUUAUCUCACUAGCGUAUAUCAAAUAUUCAAAAAAAUACUUUUCCAAUAAAUGGAUGAAGAAACUUUAUCAUACAAUAUUUGUUUAUGUUCUCCUAACAACGAAUGAGAAUAAACUCAUAUUGUUUCUCGUCUAUUAAAAUAUGAUCAUGUUCCUCCCAACAACGAACGGAGAAACUGUCUGUUGUCACGUUUGACGGCUUGCUAAUCCCUAAAGGGAAUUACCUUACAUACUCUCGGUAGGAAAACAAUAUCUAAUACUGAUUAUGUCUAUAUCGGGAUGAAAUAAUAUAUUAAAAUAUUUCUUAUAAAUAUCAUUAAUAUCAAAUAAUCUUAAUUGAUCCUUAAUUGACUUGAACUAUAGUUCAAUCGAUCUAAUUAAACUCAAUUUAAUUAGAACCGAUAUAAAUAGAUCUUUAAUCUUCAAAUAUAACCCAGUUCAAUCACGGUUUAAACCCAAAUCAAACAAAAUAAAAAUAAUUGGCUAGACCACAUAAUAUUGGGUUAGGUUGGGUUAUGUUUAUUGCAUAUGAUUUCUCGUGUUAGAUUGAACCGAACAAACCUAUAGGCUGGGGCUUGACUUACUAGCAACACUUAGCUUGUUAAUUGGGCUUGGCCUGUAGGUUAUGAUAUGACUUAUGAGAUAAGCAUGACCUGUUGUCUGGUCUUGGCCUGUGGACUAUGGCCUAGUGUUGGGUUGAGCCUAGCAUGUUGGUUGGGCUUGGCUUAUUGAUCGGCCUAGCCUACUGAAUAAUUUCAACUCAAAUCCUAACCAAUUCUUUCAAUUUUGAAUUACAAUGAAAUUAUAAUUAAGCAUCUAUUCAUUAGCAAUAAGUUAAUGAAAUAUAAUAAAUAAUAGUAAACUAAAUGAUAAAACUGCAUAAGCAGAAAAUAAUAUUCUUAAUAAUGUAUAAAUAGAAAAUAAUCAAAUAUUAUACAUUCAUAUCAUAUGUAUUUCUACUAUUUUUAUCUAUUAAAAAUUUUAGAAAUACAUAUGACAUAAAUAAUUUUAACAUGUUUUAAUCAUAAAAUAAAAUUCUAAACCUUUAAAAUAAUAAAAGAAGAUUUUAGAAACUUCAUAUAAUAUGUUUUAAUCUAAAACUAAAAUUUUUGAUAUUUAAAGAAAUAAAAAAUAUUUGAGAACUACAUAUCAUAUAUUUUAAUUCAAUAAUAAAAUUUUAAUCAUUUAAAGAAAAUAAAAUAAAUAUAUUUUUCAAGAAAAGCAAAGGAACUUACCUUUUAGGAUGUAACUCCUCUUCUCAGGCUUAGCUUAUCGAGAAUCGAAAAAGAUGAAUCAUUCCCCUUAAAUAGGAGGAGGUGAGUCAUUCAUAUAAGGAUUUUUUUAAUUUUUAUAUAUUUAUUAAAUAUUUAUAUUUAUUUAAUUUACUAACAAAAAGAUAUCACCCUACUUGAAAUGUUAUAUAAUUAUUUCCUAAAUCUCAUUAGCAAAAAUAAAAAAUAAAAAAUUAUGCCUAAAUUAGGGAUUUGAUUAUAUUUCUCUCCUCUUACAGAAAUUUGGUUCAAUAAUUUAGUUUAUCUCAAGAAAUUAUACAAAGAAACUACUCAUUCUAUCUUUAUCUCUUUCCCAAGUUGGUAUGAAUUGUGUUACCAAUUGAUCUUUAUCAAAUAUAUAACUUUAUUCCUAAGAAUAUGCUCUUUUCUUUCUAAGAUUCGGAUUGAUUGUUCUAUAAAGUUGACAUCAUCUUUUAAUUAUAUAAGUUGGUAAAAUAUAACAUAGGAUAUAUCUCUAAUAUAUCUUUGGAGCAUAGAGACGUGGAAGCCAUCUUAGAUGUUAUCCAAAUCUAGGGGUAAUGCCAACAUGUAUGUUAUAGGUUUGAUCUUAUUUAAGAUCUCAAAUAAGCCAAUGAAUCUAGAAACUAACUUUCGUCUUGCAAACAUGUUUAGUUUUCUCAUAGAAAUAAUAAAUUAUGAGAAUUUAAUUACUGAGAGUUCUUGCAUAUUGGUGUUUGAAUUGUUUGCUGUUAUCUUUUUUUUGAGGGUCGAUAAUGUGAUCCUCCAUAGGUGCAAUACUAAAAUAUUAAUUUUAAUCCUUUGCAUGUUACACCAUAGCUCGAUUGAGCACUUAGUAUAUUUUAGUAGAAUUAAUAAGACUUUCUAAUUGGUGGGCAAAGUCUCCUCUCCUUUAAUAUUCAUUAAAGGCGAGAGAAUUAGUUUUAUUAGAUUUUAUUUUUAUACAGAAUCAUAAUAUAUUUUCAUAAAUAUAUCCAAAAUCAAUCAAAUAAAUAAGCAUUAAAUCAUCCAAUUGAAGCGUUGACCCGAAGGAUUGUAUGAUGUCAUAAGUUUUAUUAUUUAGAUGGUUUAAUUAUUUCUUUAAACUCAUGUCCGAAUUUUCCCAGUCAUCAAAUUUUCUUCGACCACAAUUACAAAUACAAGCAACAAAACAAGACUUUUUCUGUUUUUGCUUAUAUAUUUAGAUCUAUUUGUUCCAUCUCUAAUUUUGACUUGGUCUUCUCCCAAAACCAAGAGUUGCUUGCAUCGUUCAAUGUUCAUCAUCGCACAGGUGAUUUCAACAACCAACUUAAUCUUAACUCAACAUAAUUCGAUCAUAUCUUACAAACAAGAUUGCAUAAUUUAUGCAACAUCAGAAGGAAUUCUUCUUCCUCCUCCUCCUACUAAGGAGACUUUAUGACAUGAACAGAUCAUUAUAAGAAGACUUGCAUCGAAAGGUACAUAAACACAACUUGUCUUCAAAGUUGAUGAAAUCUUCGAUCAUUCGUUCAUAUACAAGCAAUCUAAUUCGCACCAGUGAUGCAUGAGAACAUGCGGCUGCUCCCAAACCUCGUCUGCUUGGCCAAGCGGCCAUGUCCGCCGCCAACCCUCUCGGGCGAGAAGUCCUCCAGCGAGCGGUGCCUCCUGUGGCCAUUCUGGUCCUCAUGGAAACUCCCGAGCUUGAUCGGCGCCGGCCGGAGGAAUCUCUGGGUGUUAGGGUCGCCAAACCACUGCGAAGAACCGGUCGAGAGGGACCGGUAGUACUUGCGAGCCUUUCUUCUCUUGAUCGCCCUGUAGAUGUAUGGGAUCAGCCCUUCCAUUCUUUUCUCGGUUGGAAGAGUUUGAAGGUUCUGCCAAGCCUCUUAUAAGGAGGGAGAAGAAAGCUGAGUUGACUUUGGUUCCUUCUCGAGUUAAUCCGCAUGCCACAUUCGCUGGCAGAACAAGAAAUUGCUGUCAGGAUAAAGAUGGAAAUCUCCUGUCACCCACUGUCAUUAGAAAAGAUCAUGAAGAAGAUCAAACAAUGCAACAGUCAAUCACUUGGCGUAUAAUAAUCACCAAGACGAGAAAUGAGCUCUUGGAGUGUCGCUCUUGAUGAAGCUUGCUUCAUGCCGUCUCAACACUGCUGUUCUCAUCAUUGGUGGCUCGGGGUAGCGGGUUUCCAUGGUCCUGAAGGGACAGAGCCGUGCAUGAACAAGCCUCCUUGGUCACCUAACUCUUCACUGAUCACCAACUCUGUUUCUUCAGACCCAUGCCUCCCACAUUGGAAUUCCAUGGAAGGUGCAAUAAAUUAGUCAAGCAAAGUG